GACGAACGCUGGCGGCGUGCCUAAUACAUGCAAGUCGAGCGGACUGAUUAAGAGCUUGCUCUUAUGACGUUAGCGGCGGACGGGUGAGUAACACGUGGGCAACCUGCCCUGUAGAUCGGGAUAACACCGAGAAAUCGGUGCUAAUACCGGGUAAUAUCUGAGAUCACAUGAUCUUAGGUUAAAAGAUGGCUCCGGCUAUCACUACAGGAUGGGCCCGCGGCGCAUUAGCUAGUUGGUAAGGUAAUGGCUUACCAAGGCGACGAUGCGUAGCCGACCUGAGAGGGUGAUCGGCCACACUGGGACUGAGACACGGCCCAGACUCCUCCGGGAGGCAGCAGUAGGGAAUCUUCCGCAAUGGACGAAAGUCUGACGGAGCAACGCCGCGUGAGUGAUGAAGGGUUUCGGCUCGUAAAGCUCUGUUGUUAGGGAAGAAACAGUACCGAACGAACUAGGUCGGUACCUUGACGGUACCUAACCAGAAAGCCACGGCUAACUACGUG
rnacentral:rRNA from 1 species